rnacentral:tRNA from 1 species
GUUUUUAUAGUUUAAUUUAAAACAUUGGUCUUGUAAACUAAAAUUAAGAAUUUAAUCUUUAAAAACU